UACGUAGGGUCCGAGCGUUGUCCGGAAUUAUUGGGCGUAAAGAGCUCGUAGGCGGUUUGUCGCGUCUGCUGUGAAAUCCCGAGGCUCAACCUCGGGCCUGCAGUGGGUACGGGCAGACUAGAGGUAGGUAGGGGAGAACGGAAUUCCUGGUGUAGCGGUGGAAUGCGCAGAUAUCAGGAGGAACACCAGUAGCGAAGGCGGCUCGCUGGGCCACACCUGACGCUGAGACGCGAAAGCUAGGGGAGCGAACAGG
rnacentral:rRNA from 1 species